GAUGAACGCUGGCGGCGUGCCUAAUACAUGCAAGUCGAGCGAACGGACGAGAAGCUUGCUUCUCUGAUGUUAGCGGCGGACGGGUGAGUAACACGUGGAUAACCUACCUAUAAGACUGGGAUAACUUCGGGAAACCGGAGCUAAUACCGGAUAAUAUUUUGAACCGCAUGGUUCAAAAGUGAAAGACGGUCUUGCUGUCACUUAUAGGUGGAUCCGCGCUGCAUUAGCUAGUUGGUAAGGUAACGGCUUACCAAGGCAACGAUGCAUAGCCGACCUGAGAGGGUGAUCGGCCACACUGGAACUGAGACACGGUCCAGACUCCUACGGGAGGCAGCAGUAGGGAAUCUUCCGCAAUGGGCGAAAGCCUGACGGAGCAACGCCGCGUGAGUGAUGAAGGUCUUCGGAUCGUAAAACUCUGUUAUUAGGGAAGAACAUAUGUGUAAGUAACUGUGCACAUCUUGACGGUACCUAAUCAGAAAGCCACGGCUAACUACGUGCCAGCAGCCGCGGUAAUACGUAGGUGGCAAGCGUUAUCCGGAAUUAUUGGGCGUAAAGCGCGCGUAGGCGGUUUUUUAAGUCUGAUGUGAAAGCCCACGGCUCAACCGUGGAGGGUCAUUGGAAACUGGAAAACUUGAGUGCAGAAGAGGAAAGUGGAAUUCCAUGUGUAGCGGUGAAAUGCGCAGAGAUAUGGAGGAACACCAGUGGCGAAGGCGACUUUCUGGUCUGUAACUGACGCUGAUGUGCGAAAGCGUGGGGAUCAAACAGGAUUAGAUACCCUGGUAGUCCACGCCGUAAACGAUGAGUGCUAAGUGUUAGGGGGUUUCCGCCCCUUAGUGCUGCAGCUAACGCAUUAAGCACUCCGCCUGGGGAGUACGACCGCAAGGUUGAAACUCAAAGGAAUUGACGGGGACCCGCACAAGCGGUGGAGCAUGUGGUUUAAUUCGAAGCAACGCGAAGAACCUUACCAAAUCUUGACAUCCUUUGACAACUCUAGAGAUAGAGCCUUCCCCUUCGGGGGACAAAGUGACAGGUGGUGCAUGGUUGUCGUCAGCUCGUGUCGUGAGAUGUUGGGUUAAGUCCCGCAACGAGCGCAACCCUUAAGCUUAGUUGCCAUCAUUAAGUUGGGCACUCUAAGUUGACUGCCGGUGACAAACCGGAGGAAGGUGGGGAUGACGUCAAAUCAUCAUGCCCCUUAUGAUUUGGGCUACACACGUGCUACAAUGGACAAUACAAAGGGCAGCGAAACCGCGAGGUCAAGCAAAUCCCAUAAAGUUGUUCUCAGUUCGGAUUGUAGUCUGCAACUCGACUACAUGAAGCUGGAAUCGCUAGUAAUCGUAGAUCAGCAUGCUACGGUGAAUACGUUCCCGGGUCU
rnacentral:rRNA from 1 species